CAGCAGCCACGGUAAUACGUAGGUGGCAAGCGUUGUCCGGAAUUAUUGGGCGUAAAGGGCUCGCAGGCGGUUUCUUAAGUCUGAUGUGAAAGCCCCCGGCUCAACCGGGGAGGGUCAUUGGAAACUGGGAAACUUGAGUGCAGAAGAGGAGAGUGGAACUCCACGUGUAGCGGUGAAAUGCGUAGAGAUGUGGAGGAACACCAGUGGCGAAGGCGACUCUCUGGUCUGUAACUGACGCUGAGGAGCGAAAGCGUGGGGAGCGAACAGGAUUAGAUACCCCAGUAGUCCCUGUCUCUUAUAC
rnacentral:rRNA from 1 species